GUGUCAGCCGCCGCGGUAAUACAGAGGUCCCGAGCGUUGUUCGGAUUCACUGGGCGUAAAGGGUGCGUAGGUGGCAUGGCAAGUUUGAUGUGAAAGCUCAGGGCUCAACCCUGAAAUGGCAUUGAAUACUGCUGUGCUGGAGGUUUGGAGGGGGGACUGGAAUUCUCGGUGUAGCAGUGAAAUGCGUAGAUAUCGAGAGGAACACCAGUGGCGAAGGCGAGUCCCUGGACAACACCUGACACUGAGGCACGAAAGCUAGGGGAGCAAACAGGAUUAGAAACCCGCGUAGUCC
rnacentral:rRNA from 1 species